AUUGAACGCUGGCGGCAGGCCUAACACAUGCAAGUCGAGCGGAUGAAGGGAGCUUGCUCCUGGAUUCAGCGGCGGACGGGUGAGUAAUGCCUAGGAAUCUGCCUGGUAGUGGGGGAUAACGUCCGGAAACGGGCGCUAAUACCGCAUACGUCCUGAGGGAGAAAGUGGGGGAUCUUCGGACCUCACGCUAUCAGAUGAGCCUAGGUCGGAUUAGCUAGUUGGUGGGGUAAAGGCCUACCAAGGCGACGAUCCGUAACUGGUCUGAGAGGAUGAUCAGUCACACUGGAACUGAGACACGGUCCAGACUCCUACGGGAGGCAGCAGUGGGGAAUAUUGGACGAUGGGCGAAAGCCUGAUCCAGCCAUGCCGCGUGUGUGAAGAAGGUCUUUGGAUUGUAAAGCACUUUAAGUUGGGAGGAAGGGCAGUAAGUUAAUACCUUGCUGUUUUGACGUUACCAACAGAAUAAGCACCGGCUAACUUCGUG
rnacentral:rRNA from 1 species